GUNUCCGGAUCNUAGGUUAAAGGUGGUAGCCGAAGGAUAAGUCAGUGGUGAAUCUGCGGCUUACCGUAAAAUUGCCAUGAUACUGUUUUCUGAGUGUGGUGAGGUAGGCGGAAUGAGUAAUGUAGCGGUGAAAUGCUUAGAUAUUACUCAGAACACCGAUUGCGUAGGCAGCUUACUAAGCCAUUACUGACGCUGAUGCACGAAAGCGUGGGUAGCAAACAGGAUUAGAUACCCUGGUAGUCCACGCAGUAAACGUUGAUUACUCGUUGUUGGCAAUACAUCGUCAGCGACUGAGCAAAAGCAUUAAGUAAUCCACCUGGGGAGUACGUCAGCAAUGAUGAAACUCAAAGGAAUUGACGGGGGCCCGCACAAGCGGAGGAACAUGUGGUUUAAUUCGAUGAUACGCGAGGAACCUUACCUGGGCUUAAAUGUUAAGUGCUAUACCGGGAGACCGGUUUUUCCUUCGGGACACUUUACAAGGUGCUGCAUGGUUGUCGUCAGCUCGUGCCGUGAGGUGUCGGGUUAAGUCCCAUAACGAGCGCAACCCCUAUUGCCAGUUGCCAGCACAUCAUGGUGGGAACUCUGGUAAAACUGCCGGUGCAAACCGCGAGGAAGGUGGGGAUGACGUCAAAUCAGCAUGGCCCUUAUGUCCAGGGCUACACACGUGUUACAAUGGUCGGUACAACAGGAAGCUAUUCCGCGAGGAACCGCUAAUCCCGAAAGCCGAUCUUAGUUCGGAUCGGAGUCUGCAAUUCGACUCCGUGAAGCUGGAUUCGCUAGUAAUCGCAGAUCAGCCAUGCUGCGGUGAAUAUGUUCCCGGGCCUUGUACACACCGCCCGUCAAGCCAUGGAAGCCGGGGGUGCCUGAAGUCCGUAACCGAUAAGGAGUGGCCCAGGGUAAAACCGGUAACUGGGGCUAAGUCGUAACAAGGUAGCCAA
rnacentral:rRNA from 1 species